UGAUGUCUCAAAUUCCUCUCCUCAGAACUGUUGACCACAGAGGAAGGGAGAACAUUUUAUUUACAGUCAUUGCCCAGUUUGUCCCAGAUCCCGAAAACAG